AGGGAUUUAGCUCAGAGCAUUUGCCUGAAAAGCACAAGGCCCUGAGUUCGAUCCUCAGCUCUG
rnacentral:tRNA from 1 species